AGUGAACGCUGGCGGCAGGCCUAACACAUGCAAGUCGAGCGGCAGCGCGGGGGCAACCCUGGCGGCGAGCGGCGGCCGGGUGAGGAAUUCGUCGGAAUCUGCCUUUUUGUGGGGGAUAACGUAGGGAAACUUACGCUAAUACCGCAUACGUCCUACGGGAGAAAGUGGGGGACCGCAAGGCCUCACGCUGAAAGAUGAGCCGACGACCGAUUAGCUAGUUGGUGGGGUAAAGGCCCACCAAGGCGACGAUCGGUAGCUGGUCUGAGAGGGUGAUAGGCCACACUGGGACUGAGACACGGCCCAGACUCCUACGGGAGGCAGCAGUGGGGAAUAUUGGACAAUGGGCGCAAGCCUGAUCCAGCCAUGCCGCGUGUGUGAAGAAGGCCUUCGGGUUGUAAAGCACUUUUGUCCGGAAAGAAAUCCCUGGAGCUAACACCUUCGGUGGAUGACGGUACCGGAAGAAUAAGCACCGGCUAACUUCGUG
rnacentral:rRNA from 1 species